AUGUUGUCCAAGGCCGACAAGCUCCAAGACUACGCUCCCAAGUUCGACUCCACCGCCAUCCCUCUUUGUGGCAUUAAUGACGCCGAGUCUACUUCGACUCUUUUUCAAGACGAUGCAGCGACGAGUACAACUAUGGAGACCCUCAAGGAGCAAGUUUUGAAGGCGAGCGACACGGUGGCAAGCAAGGAUGAUGCUUCCAUCUUUGGAGGCAAGAGUGAUGAUGUGCCAUCUUCGGCGUUCUUCCACGGUGAUGACGGCGAGAAGGUUGAGCAUGGGACUAUCCCUUCAACCAAGGCGGCGAUAGGCGUUGAGCAUGGAGACAUUGGCACCAACAUCUCUCCGACACCCACACAUGAGAGCAUGCCACACACCCUAUGUGAGGUUGAGAGCCAUUUGAGUGACUCCACCAACUAUACGAGUGAGAGAAUCCAAGAGGGAGUGAGUGAGCCACAACACUUAGUGAGUGAGGUAGUUGAGAGGGCACGUGAGGCCACUAUGAUUUCUCACGACUUAACCUCUGCUCCGAGUGUGUUUUCCUCUUUGGUGCUAGGUCUCCUACAUGACGACAUGCCUAUCCUCGACGAGUCCACACCUCCAAUGGAGAUGACGAUGGCCAUGGUGGAUGAUGAUGCACCCCCCACAUGGUUCCAUCAAGAUGAAGAUACAAUGAGUGGAUCUUCGACACCUCACCUACAACACAUGAGCGACACUUCAAAGGUAACAUAG
rnacentral:rRNA from 1 species